UGGUGGAGUGAUUUGUCUGGUUAAUUCCGAUAACGAACGAGACCUUAACCUGCUAAAUAGCCCAGUCGACUUUGGUUAACUGCUGGCUUCUUAGAGGGACUAUCGGCGAUUAGCCGAUGGAAGUUUGAGGCAAUAACA
rnacentral:rRNA from 1 species